CGAAACGCAAUGAAAUGGAAAGUAAAUAAGGAUUCUUUUUUAAGAGAGUUCACAUCUGCUGCAAGUGAACAUGAGAAGCUUAUUGAAAAUGGCCAUGGAGCGGUCACUAUGACAAACUUGAAAUAGUGAACGGGAGCCCCCGUUAGUUGGGUCGCAGUAUAGUUUUUGUACUGGUUGAGGUUAUAGUUAGCGAUAACUAUAGCAAAUUAAGGUGGUAACACGAAUUCACGUCGUCCUUUUU
rnacentral:ncRNA from 1 species